UCGAGCGGGGGAAGGUAGCUUGCUACCGGACCUAGCGGCGGACGGGUGAGUAAUGCUUAGGAAUCUGCCUAUUAGUGGGGGACAACAUCUCGAAAGGGAUGCUAAUACCGCAUACGUCCUACGGGAGAAAGCAGGGGAUCUUCGGACCUUGCGCUAAUAGAUGAGCCUAAGUCGGAUUAGCUAGUUGGUGGGGUAAAGGCCUACCAAGGCGACGAUCUGUAGCGGGUCUGAGAGGAUGAUCCGCCACACUGGGACUGAGACACGGCCCAGACUCCUACGGGAGGCAG
rnacentral:rRNA from 1 species